CUAUAAAAAAAUAAUUCUAACCCUAAUUCAUUAUCCUGUCCAAGCCCAAAUUCAAGCCUAUCGGUGAAAUGGUGAAAUAAUUUGCAGCCUUCUGAGAUUCCCCCAAACUCACUCGAUCAUGCUCAAACCUGGAAAGAAGGGAUGUUCUCGCAGGUAAAGUGGCUACUAAUCUUGAAAGGCCCAGGUCUGUGAUGACUCAUUGCAGUGCUAAUAGAGUUAUGUUGAGAAGGCAUUCCUCAAGCCAAGUUCUUCCUUCUGGAAGUAAGAGACUCUGGUGGAAGAUGUUACUCUGGAGCCAUAGGAACAUACAUAGACA